GAAAGAAGCCGCGGCUGCCGCCUGGAGGAGGUGCCGUCGCCUCCGCCACCGCUGCCGCCGCCGCCAGGGGCAGAGAGUGAAACUUUACCUCUGAGUCUGGCUACCCGACCAGAAUGCAUUUAGGAAUCACUGGACUAUUUUACACUUUUCCAGGGAAAGAAAAUAUAUAGCUCAGAAGGGCAGUGGCAAAGGAAUAUGGAAGAGAGCACCAAAAUAAAAAAGCAUCUCAGAAGCCAUGUGUUUACAGAUGAGAAGCCAUUGUACAAUUCGGCAGAGCCAUUAUCAGCCUGGACCCCUGAGUGAAUGAAUGGAGCAGAUUCCCCCAAUCCCACAAUUGGUUUGAAUGUGUAACAGGAGAAAUAAAUUUUGUUGUGUUAAGCCGAAGAGAUGUGUGUUGAAGUUUGUCUACUACAGCAGGUAGUAGAGUUGGAGAACCUAAAUUAAUAUAUUCCCUAAAUGCAG